rnacentral:rRNA from 1 species
UACGUAGGGGACGAGCGUUGUCCGGAGUUACUGGGCGUAAAGCGCACGCAGGCGGUCUGCUAAGUUUGGAGUGACAGUUGGUGGCUUAACUGCCAAAGUGCUUCGAAAACUGACAGACUUGAGGGCUUCAGAGGGACACGGAAUUCCGGGUGGAGUGGUGAAAUGCGUAGAGAUCCGGAGGAACACCAAAGGCGAAGGCAGUGUCCUGGGGAGUACCUGACGCUCAGGUGCGAAAGCCAGGGGAGCGAACGGG